GACGAACCGUCCGAACGCUAUUCGGAAUCACUGGGCUUAAAGGGUGCGUAGGCGGCGCGGAAAGUUGGGUGUGAAAUCCCUCGGCUCAACCGAGGAACUGCGCCCAAAACUACCGUGCUCGAGGGAGAUAGAGGUGAGCGGAACUUAGGGUGGAGCGGUGAAAUGCGUUGAUAUCCUAAGGAACACCGGUGGCGAAAGCGGCUCACUGGAUCUUUUCUGACGCUGAGGCACGAAAGCUA
rnacentral:rRNA from 1 species